rnacentral:lncRNA from 1 species
GCAAGGUCUCCUGGGUUCCCUAACCUGCCUCUGCCCUCCCAGUGAUACGCUGGCACCGGGCUGGAGGAGAUGAUCUGAUGUUAGACGACCUCGGUGGCCUCUGCUGUUAUUUAAACAAACACUAAGCCUGGCAGCGCUGCAGGGACAUUUGGUGGCCCCUGGCAACAGACAGCAUCUGCAAGAAGGGUCUCGCUAGAUUGACAGAAAAACCAAGGUCUCCAUAAGGCACAAGACUGAGUUGUCCACGGUUCUCAAGCUCUCCGCUCUGGUUCGGUGACAUCUCGGAAUGAACCCCAGAGAAUCCUUGUGCUCUUGACCGAGCGUUGUGCCGGUGUUCCCCAAGACUGGACACUCUACCCGCCCCAGGUCUGAGGUUCUCAGUCCUGCUCCGAGCAGCCAACUCUGCCCACAGAUCAGAGGAUUCUUUGUUUCCUCCACUCGAAAGGGAUAGAGUUCAGGUGCAUCCCACAGAUGCUGGGAGUCUCUCCGUGACUCUCCUCAACUGCUGAUGUCCCUACAGCAGAAACCUAUUCCCACCUCAUGCUGAAGUCUGGGCUGUCUUCUUUGUGCUAGAGUCCAGUCUCCCUGUGGCUUCC